rnacentral:rRNA from 1 species
UUGACCUCGGAUCAGGUAGGAAUACCCGCUGAACUUAAGCAUAUCAAUAAGGCGGAGGAAUG